rnacentral:rRNA from 1 species
AGGUUAAGCUAGUAAGAGCACACGGAGGAUGCCUAGGCGCUAGGAGCCGAAGAAGGACGUGGCGAACAACGAUAUGCCCCGGGGAGUCGUAAGCAGACUUUGAUCCGGGGAUGUCCGAAUGGGGGAACCCGGCUGCGGUUAUGCGCAGUCACUCACUUCUGAAUCCAUAGGAAGUGAAGAGGCAGACCAGGGGAACUGAAACAUCUAAGUACCCUGAGGAGAAGAAAACAAUCGUGAUUCCGUCAGUAGCGGCGAGCGAAAGCGGAGGAGCCCAAACCAGAGAGCUUGCUCACUGGGGUUGUGGGACACCUUAUACGGAGUUACAAAGGAGCAGAUUAGGCGAAGAGGUCUGGAAAGGCCUGCCACAGAAGGUAACAGCCCUGUAGCUGAAAGUCUGCUCUCUCCAAGGUGGAUCCCGAGUACGGCGGGACACGGGAAACCCCGUCGGAAUCCGGCAGGACCAUCUGCCAAGGCUAAAUACUCCCUAGCGACCGAUAGUGAAGCAGUACCGUGAGGGAAAGGUGAAAAGCACCCCGGGAGGGGAGUGAAAGAGAACCUGAAACCGUGUGCUUACAAGAAGUCAGAGCCCUAUGAUUUUCUUCGGGAAAUCAGGGUGAUGGCGUGCCUUUUGUAGAAUGAACCGGCGAGUUACGCUUGCAUGCAAGGUUAAGGUGAAGAGCCGGAGCCGCAGCGAAAGCGAGUCUGAA